GAUGAACGCUGGCGGCGUGCCUAAUACAUGCAAGUCGAGCGAACGGACGAGAAGCUUGCUUGUCGGAUGUUAGCGGCGGACGGGAGAGUAACACGUGGAUAACCUACCUAUAAGACGGAGAUAACUUCGGGAAACCGGAGCUAAUCCCGGAUAAUAUUUUGAACCGCAUGGUUCAAAAGUGAAAGACGGUCUUGCUGUCACGUAUAGAGGGAUCCGCGCUGCAUUAGCUAGUUGGUAAGGUAACGGCUUACCAAGGCAACUAUGCAUAGGCGAACGGAGAGGGUGAUCGGCCACCCUAGAACUGAGACGGGGUCCAUGCUCCUACGGGACGCAGCAGUCGCGAAUCGGAGGCAAUGGGGGGAAGUAUGACGGAGUAACGGCGAGUGAGUUAUAGCGGUCCUCGGAUCGUAAUAAUGUGCUAUUAGGGAUGAACAUAUGUGUAAGUAACUGUGCACAUAUUGACGGUAACUAGUCAGAAAGCACCGGCUAACUACGUG
rnacentral:rRNA from 1 species